GACGAACGCUGGCGGCGUGCCUAAUACAUGCAAGUAGAACGCUGAAGGAGGAGCUUGCUUCUCUGGAUGAGUUGCGAACGGGUGAGUAACGCGUAGGUAACCUGCCUGGUAGCGGGGGAUAACUAUUGGAAACGAUAGCUAAUACCGCAUAAUAGUAGAUGUUGCAUGACAUUUGCUUAAAAGGUGCAAUUGCAUCACUACCAGAUGGACCUGCGUUGUAUUAGCUAGUUGGUGAGGUAACGGCUCACCAAGGCAACGAUACAUAGCCGACCUGAGAGGGUGAUCGGCCACACUGGGACUGAGACACGGCCCAGACUCCUACGGGAGGCAGCAGUAGGGAAUCUUCGGCAAUGGACGGAAGUCUGACCGAGCAACGCCGCGUGAGUGAAGAAGGUUUUCGGAUCGUAAAGCUCUGUUGUAAGAGAAGAACGAGUGUGAGAGUGGAAAGUUCACACUGUGACGGUAUCUUACCAGAAAGGGACGGCUAACUACG
rnacentral:rRNA from 1 species